CACUGGAGGCAGCGGUUCAUCGAUCUCUUCCUGGCCAAUUUUUUGUUUAGCACGAAAAACAUGAACCGAUCGAUAAACCUCUGCAUCCAGC
rnacentral:pre_miRNA from 13 species